AACCCGACUCCAUGAAGCUGGAUUCGCUAGUAAUCGCGCAUCAGCCACGGCGCGGUGAAUACGUUCCCGGGCCUUGUACACACCGCCCGUCAAGCCAUGGGAGUCGGGAGUGCCUGAAGUGCGUGAGCGCGAGCAGCGCCCUAGGGCAAAACCGAUGACUGGGGCUAAGUCGUAACAAGGUAUC
rnacentral:rRNA from 1 species